rnacentral:sRNA from 1 species
UGGUGGGUUGUUUUUAUGGGAAAAAAUGCUUUAAGAACAAAUGUAUACUUUUAGAGAGUUCCCCGU